ACCAAGAGCUAACAACGCCGCUGCGUCUUUGUUCGCGCAUACGUACGUGCGUGCCUGACGCCGACCUCUACAUCAACACCGGCCGGCCGCCCGUCAAGUUCGCCGCGCGCUGUUUCAUGAUCCUCACCGUCGCCUCCGUUUCGCUGACGAGCUGUUUCCGCAACGUCGCUCCCUGGACCAACCUCCUCCGCCAACGAAGGUUGCCGUUCCAGGCGUUCUCGUCUCCGUCCGCUGCACCGAAGUCUGCUAACGUCGACGUCGCACUCCGGUGCUACCUCCGUCAGAAGAUCGCUCCAUUUUACGGCCACGGUGUUGUCCAGUGCCGACCGCGUCCGUGCUUUUCAAGGUGCCGCCUUUGAGGCCGGGUCUUAUUCAUGUGAAUCUGCACUACAUCAACGCCAGCUCUGUAGACUAGCUGCUCAGCCCGCUCGUCAGUCUCCUCCAGGGCCACCUCUGCAUGUUGCUUCCUCGUUAGCAACCAGUCACGUCCGGGUCCCGCAGAUCAGCCUCUCAGGCUCGAAUCGUCUUGGCAUUUGCUUCUUCCCGGAUAGGAUCACGAAGUGGUGUGGUGAGAUACGACAAGUUCUCCGGAUGUUGCUCGGCAAGCUUUAACAGGCAAGCAUUUCCCCUAUACUCAUGUCCCGGCAGGAGUCGCUCACCUAUUUUAUUUUGCCUUCCCCCUUAUGCUAUCCUUGAGUUGCGUUCUUGUCACGUGUCCCUUCCACUUGUUACCUCAAGCAGUCCAUAUUGCCACCACCACCCCCUACAGCUAUUGUUUGGUUAUCGGGUCUGCCUUGCGAGUCGUAGUGCAUGCUACUGCUGUUUUAUCUCGUUACCGUUAUUGUUAUCUUAUCGGGUUAUAUGUUGGGAAGAAUCAUGGUUACUUUAGUUGUUGAUAAUUGUUUAGCGCAGGCAUCGGUGGGUCAGCUGAUCAUUUUGUGAUGACUCACUUGUGUUUCCUAAAUAUUUUAGGACCCCGAGUUCUUGUUAUCUGUUCCGAGACUGAGCGCUCUAACCACACGUGGGUAUACUUACCGGGUCUCCCCUCGACCACUGCCGUAAUCUACAGCCUUGUCCAGUGGCCACAAUUAGUUUGAAUGCUUUGUUUCUCUCGGGCGUGCAAGCUUGUUUCUUUGUGGUCAGAUGAUAUGAUGUUACUUUUGGGGAAGCCGUGAGUGCCUUGUAACCCCGUUGCCUCUUGCACGCUCGUAGGUGCAGUCCGCAUUGUUAAGAGGUCAUCCUCUAGUGGGCUUUGAUCCUCUUAGCCGUUCUCGCAAUAGCUAGGUCCGCCUCGGAGUUUCGAUCGGGCUCUGAAACAGGUUAAACUUAGUUAGGUGGCUUCCUGGACAUUGUUGUGGUGAAGGAGAGUGCGAGUCGUGAUAUCCACCUGUCAUAAGUGGGUCGAGCGUGCGUGUGGGCACAUUUGGGCACCCCUGCAGGGUUACAAUCUUAUCGAUAAGCCGUGUCCGCGGUUAUGGAUGAGUUGGAGCUGUAUGACUCGACCAUAGACAACUUACACAUAUUGUUUCAAUACUAAUAACUUGCAUAGUAAGAUAGAACAACUUAAAUAAUUCUUGGUUAAAACUUGUCAACAAUGUGGGUGCCUUUGCCAGUACUUCUUUGCGAAGGGGGAACACAUCGGAUGUGUUAUGUUCGCAGAGUAUAGAACUGUUAGUUGUGUGCUCUCUCACCUUCUCUGAUAGACGAAUGUUCUAGAGUGUCUCUAUAGGUUUUUAGUGCUUGCGCGCUACCGCUUAACCCCACCAUAUUGCCUAUGACGUUCCUCUUGCGUCUAAGUCCCCUGCGUGCCUCAAGUACGAAGGACGACUGGUUGACGAAUGCUUAUACGUCUUGAAGUCUUGUUAAGUACGAACCCGUACUUGUUGCUGCUUCUACGGGAUCUAACCGGGCAGGUAUGAAGAUAUGUUCGAAGAAGACGACGUUAGCAAGGUUACCCUUCCGGCUUGGCCUGGGCAGGGUUAUGGACGCCACUGGUUAUCUUCAGGACUCUUAGUCCAAAUUGUAUCUUGUCCGUACUCGGACGCAUUCGACUUUCUGUAUGAUUUGGAUCUUUGUAUUGUAUAUUUGUAUCUUGACUCGUUGGAGUCAUUGUUGUAAUAUAUGUAUCUUGUGGGCUCUAUUGUAAUCCUGUUGUAAUGUUACCGCUCGUGUUAAUUCCUCUGGCAUCACGUGUGUGAUUCGUCGCGCACGUCGUGUCGGAGGGCGUCUCUGAAUCGAUAUCGUGCAAAUUUUGGCGGGAUCGCUGGAAUCCUCAUGGUACCGGUUCCGGGGCGUCACACCACAUCACCAUCUGCGGGCCACCCGGGCUUGCCGGAUCUAGACACUGUCGAUGGUAUACCCAUGAAAUAU